rnacentral:lncRNA from 10 species
UUCCAGACCCUUCUUAAAUAUUAUCGUGUAUACCAGCUUUAUUAUUUAGCUCUGCAAUACUGCUAAAUUGGUCAAUUACUUCCCUGCCUCCCCACCCUCCAACUGAAUUCUCACCACCCUUGAGGGAAAACAGUCUGGGUUCCCUGUGGAACAUCAUUUCUCAAAACUGUAUUUUGGGGCUUGCUUUCUCAUUUUUCCUUUCCAUUUCAGAUAUCCUUACUGCUGUCUUUGGGCUCUUUAAACACUGCCUUUUUUCCUUUUUCGAUCACACCCAAAAACUUUUCUCAAAAAUUACAUGUAAAUUUAAAAAUUUACAAAUUAAAUUUAAAAUUGAAAUUUUAAAAAUCCCGACUCUCCCUAAUUUCAGGAAGCAUGCAUUUAUUAUACAUAACAAGACGUGAAAGCCGCAAGAGUUUCAGCCUAAACACUGAAGACCCCGCGAAGUGAAUCCAGCUGCUGCUCUACAAGCAGCAACAACAACUGGGAAGCCUUCUCAGCUACACUUCGGGGCACUGGUCCAACCCCACGCAAAAUCCCUCGUUUCCCUUAGCGUGGUAAGACGGAGCCUGACCUGAGCUCCAACUGUCCUAUCUUUUUCAAAUGUUUCAAACUUACUGCCUUUGUUCAGCAGAACCACGGGCACGGUGAUGAUGGUGACAAGCGCAGCAGCACCCAGCAGUCCCAGAAGAACCUUCCACGGUGUCUGCAAGCCGAGCAGAUCAAGUCCAAUUAGAGGGAAGCGUGUGGCCCCAGUUUCCGUAGGAGGGUCGGGGCUGCUCCAGAGGCAGCAGGAUUUGCAGGUGGGAGUGCGUUAGAAGAGGGAGACCGCGGGCUGGGGGUGGGGGUGGCGUCUGGAGUGCGCCAGUUGGAGUUCUCUAAGGCGGGUGCCCUUGAACUUGUGCCUUCAGAGCACAUUAGCGUUGGUUUCUCUACCCCUGCCCGGGUUCGGGCGUGCGUUCUGUGAGUGGCUCUCCGGGACAUUCAAAGCUCGACGCCAGGGUCCUAGCAGAAGCCAGGGUCCGAAAGCUAAGCGAGAGCUCUGGGACGUCCCUUCACCUGUCAGAGGGUGGCCUUGGGGCUUCCGCCUAAGGGGAGUCCCUGGUCCGGUUUCGCCAGCUUUUGGGCCAUUUGGGGAGUUUGGCGAAGAGGUCCCCACAGCUCGCCCCGGGGACGUACGUGGCGCGGCACUCACCUUCAUCGUCGGCGUCUCCUCGGAAGUGAGCGUUCAGAGAAGGAGCGCAGGCAGAAGUCACCGCGGGCGGCGGAGACGCGCGUCCUGCACCGCUGCUCCGGGCGGUGGAGUCACUCGCCGCUGGAAGGAAGACUGUACACAGAGAAUAAAUAACUUGGCCAAGCCAUUCAGCUAGGAAGUUGUAGAUCCUAAAUUAAGAGUUCAAGGUCUUAAUGGCUACUCUAUGCGGCCUCUCAUAGUCUUUUCAAGGGUUUUGGAGAAGAAUAAAAGAUCAGGUAUGGCUUCUCCCUCCCCCAGCUCUCUAUUGUUCCCUAAAGGAUUAUUCAUUCGUUCAUUCAUUCCUACAUCCUCCCAUUUAUUCCAGUCAUCCACAGAUGUUUGAGUGGUUACAAUGUGCCAGCCUCCCUUCUAGGUACUGGAGAUAAAGUGGGACAAGAGAGGUGAGGUCUGGACCCUUGGCACUUUCACGAUAAAAUACACAGGCAUUGCUUUUGAACUCAGUCAUCUUUUCCCCCUUGCCCACUAGUUGCUUGUGAUACAUCAGUAUCCUCACUCACCCCCAACUCCAGAGGCUGAAACUAACUCUCCUCCUCCCUCUUCCAACUGCUGAGGAAGAUGAGUCAAUGGUGUUACUGGACCCUGUGAACUGAUGCUGUGAAGAGAGGCCAUUUAACACGGACUACGGGGAAUGGUGCCACAGGGGGCUCAGUGCUGCCCUUCACUCUCAGCAUUUUGCUCACUCAGCAUUGAUGACAGGAUGUCCCAAAAGUAACAAAAGAUGGGAGCCAGUCCUCUCAUAGCUGUUUCUUCAAUCAUCCCAUCAACAGCUCUUCAUUUAUUGAACUACCUUCCUUUUCCAAAGAGGUAAUGCUGAGAUCAGUCAGAAAGGCUUUCUGAGAAA